AAUCAGCUUAUAUUGAUCAGUGGAACCUUACAGUACGCCAGCCAACAAACCUUGUUCCUGUCAUCCCUUUCAACAGUGAAAUACAUAUCUGAGCUAUAUACCUAAUCAUAUUCAGAUGAUCUGGAAAUAGAACCAAAGUCAGCACAGUGAGCGCACUAAUAGCACUCGAUGAUCCCAAUGCUUCUCUGUGGAUAUCUAGCUUACAGUUCUCUGAUGUUUACUUGAGACAAAUUCAGCUGUAAUAGUUUAGAUGAUCUAAUAUAUUACUCCAUGAACUCUACAGUGGAUUGUUGUAGUUUCUGUUCUAUUCCUAUCUAUUGUUUCUU